UAUUAUCCAUUUUCUUUUUCUCUCACGCGGGCUAAUAAUCUUUCUUCUUUCCAAUUUUUUUCUUUUGAUUCUGCUUUCCAUUUUCUUUCAUGUUUCACAUAAAUUAGCCAAGCAAAUGAAAAUGAACAUGAGUUCCUUAAUUACUGAAUCAAUGGUUUUCAAAUGAAUUUUGUGUGGUUGUACAAUCUUGUGAUUCGAUUGAAUCGAAGAUUAAAACAGGUUAGCAGGUAUGUGAUUAAAUGGAGACUGUUAAAUGGGCACCUAAAGAUGUAUCGACUGGAUUGAAUCAAAAGGUUUCGCUCAAUUAGCACGGGUAUGGGUUGAGGCCAAGAAAGCAGCUAUCCGGUUUAAUCAAAUCGAAGACAGCCCGCUCGAACAAGAAAAAGCUAAGAGGUUGAGGAGAAGAGCUGGAUAGCUGGGCAGAGAUGCAAGUUGGACGAGGCCCGUUGAUGCUAUUGGGCCAUGCUUGUUGGCUAAAAAAAAUAGAAGAUCAAUUUUUAUUAAUUGGCUUUUAUUUUGUAGUGUUAAUUCAAUCUUAGUUUAAUUUGCAUUCAAUUGAGUAUUCUAACUUCUUGUAGCACUUUAAGUUGAAAUGUCGAACUAAUAAAAAUUAGUGUGUUUUGUUUGUGACUUCAA